AAACGGCGAGACUGGAAAUGCAAGGCCGCAUCCUUGGCAAGAGCAGCAGUGACAGACAGAACGGCGUCGUCUUCAGAAGUGUUGGACGAUGACGCAGCAGCUGCAGCAACAGUUUCUCGAUUUGCGGUGGGCGUGGAUUGGGAAGAAGUUGAAUCUCGCGAGUCCAUGGCCAGAUCCAAGAAAUCAGAGAGUGAGAAUUUAUGAACACCAAUAUCUAGCAUCCGAAAUGUAGAUGUAUCAAAAAAUGAAAGGAAAGCCCUAGGGUAAUGAAAAUCGGAGAGGAGAGAAAUUUUGAAAUUGAUUAAGUAAAAAGGAAGAGGGAUAGCGCUUAGGGUUUUCCAAAAUUGCAGAGAAGGACAAAUUAUGAAUUACAGAAAGGAAAUUAGGGGCGAGAAAUUGGUGUUCAUAAAUUCUCGCANNNNGGGGAGCCGGUAAUUAACAAAACUGGUUUUGAGUCCAAAAUCAGCAUUACUUUUGAUAGGG
rnacentral:misc_RNA from 1 species